rnacentral:rRNA from 1 species
UACAGAGGUCCCAAGCGUUGUUCGGAUUCACUGGGCGUAAAGGGUGCGUAGGCGGUCGGGUAAGUCUGAUGUGAAAUCUCCAAGCUCAACUUGGAAAUGGCAUCGGAUACUAUUCGGCUCGAGGAGUGGAGGGGAGACUGGAAUACUUGGUGUAGCAGUGAAAUGCGUAGAUAUCAAGUGGAACACCAGUGGCGAAGGCGAGUCUCUGGACAUUUCCUGACGCUGAGGCACGAAAGCCAGGGGAGCAAACGGG